rnacentral:miRNA from 14 species
CGUGGACACGUGUGCGUGUGUGUGUGUGUGUGUGAGUGUGUUUCGGACAGGAGCCGAGGAGCUCCAUAAGCCGACUAGGCCCACCUCAG